GCUUACGGCCACACCACCCUGAGAACGCCCGCUCUCAUAUGAUCUCGGAAGAUAAGCAGGGUCGGGCCUGGUUAGUACUUUGAUGGGAGACUGCCUGGGAAUACCAGGUGCUGUAAGCU